GCGGCUGAUUAGGUAGUUGGUUGAGGUAACGGCUCACCAAGCCAACGAUCAGUAACUGGUGUGAGAGCACGACCAGUCACACUGGGACUGAGACACGGCCCAGACUCCUACGGGAGGCAGCAGUGGGGAAUUGUUCGCAAUGGGCGCAAGCCUGACGACGCAACGCCGCGUGGAGGACGAAGAUCUUCGGGUCGUAAACUCCUGUCGAGCGGGAAGAACGCUUCGCGGAUGAAUAAGCCGCGGAAUUGACGGUACCGCUAAAGGAAGCCCCGGCUAACUCCGUGCCAGCAGCCGCGGUAAUACGGGGGGGGCAAGCGUUGUUCGGAAUUACUGGGCGUAAAGGGCUCGUAGGCGGCCAACUAAGUCGGAUGUGAAAUCCCCAGGCUCAACUUGGGAACUGCAUCCGAUACUGGAUGGCUUGAAUCCGGGAGAGGGAUGCAGAAUUCCAGGUGUAGCGGUGAAAUGCGUAGAUAUCUGGAGGAAUACCGGUGGCGAAGGCGGCAUCCUGGACCGGCAUUGACGCUGAUGAGCGAAAGCUAGGGGAGCAAACGGGAUUAGAUACCCCGGUAGUCCUAGCCCUAAACGAUGAAUGCUUGGUGU
rnacentral:rRNA from 1 species